AUUGAACGCUGGCGGCAGGCCUAACACAUGCAAGUCGAACGAGUGGCGGACGGGUGAGUAAUGUCUGGGAAACUGCCUGAUGGAGGGGGAUAACUACUGGAAACGGUAGCUAAUACCGCAUACCAUCGGAUGUGCCCAGAUGGGAUUAGGUAGUAGGUGGGGUAAAGGCUCACCUAGGCGACGAUCCCUAGCUGUGCUGAGAGGAUGACCUGCCACCCUGGGACGGAGAAACGGUCCAAACUCCUACGGGAGGCAGCAGUGGGGAAUAUUGCACAAUGGGCGCAAGCCUGAUGCAGCCAUGCCGCGUGUAUGAAGAAGGCCUUCGGGUUGUAAAGUACUUUCAGCGGGGAGGCGUUACCCGCAGAAGAAGCACCGGCUAACUCCGUGCCAGCAGCCGCGGUAAUUC
rnacentral:rRNA from 1 species